CCUACGGGAGGCAGCAGUAGGGAAUCUUCCACAAUGGGCGAAAGCCUGAUGGAGCAACGCCGCGUGAGUGAUGAAGGCCUUCGGGUUGUAAAACUCUGUCAUUCGGGACGAACCGGAGUCUGAGGAAAUGCAGACUCUCUGACGGUACCGGAGGAGGAAGCCCCGGCUAACUACGUGCCAGCAGCCGCGGUAAUACGUAGGGGGCAAGCGUUGUCCGGAUUCACUGGGCGUAAAGCGCGCGCAGGCGGUGAUGUAAGUCUGAGGUGAAAACCCGAAGCUCAACUUCGGGACUGCCUUGGAUACUGCGUCACUUGAGGAUAGGAGAGGCAAGGGGAAUUCCACGUGUAGCGGUGAAAUGCGUAGAGAUGUGGAGGAACACCUGUGGCGAAGGCGCCUUGCUGGCCUAUUUCUGACGCUGAGGCGCGAAAGCGUGGGGAGCAAACAGGAUUAGAUACCCUGGUAGUCCACGCUGUAAACGAUGAGUGCUAGGUGUAGGUGGGCUCAUACCCAUCUGUGCCGAAGCUAACGCAUUAAGCACUCCGCCUGGGGAGUACGGUGCGAGACUGAAACUCAAAGAGUAGUUGGACGUUGNGAGAGCGACGACGCGACGACGGAGGGAGGAGG
rnacentral:rRNA from 1 species